rnacentral:lncRNA from 1 species
CAUGAGUAUAGCCAAGCGUCUCGCCUCCCACGCGUUUCGCUCCCGCGACUCCAUCCGCACGCCUCAAGCGUCGAGGUCCGGGCUUCGCGACAUCGCAUGCCACGAAGGGCACUCAUAACCAUAAGUUCCUUCAUGUCUUGCCUUAUGCGCCUGACAACGCCCAUGGCCAUACCGCCUAUGCGGCCUGCUCGCUCGGUCCAACGGCUUACCUCCGAAAAGCCACCCAAGUGUGCGCCACAAGCUUGCUUGCCCCCAACAUCAGCACCUCAGUGCGACACCCCGCACGUCCAUGCUUCGCACCUCCGUGCUUCGCAUCCGACCCGUGCGGCCCUCGUGUCCCAUCGCUCCUGACAAGGGAACCAACAAGUCCAUACCGUGCUUCUCGACCGUCUCAACGACCCUCGCUUUGCCACGGCGCUCCGCGCCCUUGACCCCCAUAGGUUCGCCUCAUAAGGCCCCAUACAAACGAACCGGCCUCACUCCGCAUCGCUAGCCACUGGCCCCUCCUUGGCUCGACCACGCCUGGCCGCUUACACCAUUGGUCCAGUCUCUCAAGGUUCACUAUACGGAUACCGAUACCGCUUGCCUCCUUGGGUUCCGCCCCUCGAGUCUCGUAGGCCACCCACCUUACGAAUUCUCCCUCGGCGUGCCUCCCUUUAGCGUUCCUAUUGAGUCCCGCCUCCUUGGCCUUCGUGGGCGCCGCGCCCCACGAAUCCCCGCUCGGCACACUUGCCUUCGCGAGCCUUGUCCUUUACGGAGGACCGUCCGUCGCUAGACUAUCCCUCAUCCGCUCGUACGCUCCACUACAGAGAUCCAAGCCGGCAUAAGGUAGCGCAAGCGAUCCUAGGGAGGAAGCCUCCCGGUAUUCCCCGCUUCCGUAAUGUCGUCGACCUCUCGCGUCUCCGACAUUACCCUAGGCCCGUGUCCCUUCAACCGUCCAUUAACCGGCUACACGGAACGCUAGGCUUGGCUACUCCGCUAGCCAAGGGACGACCCAUGUCCUAUGGGUCGACAAGGGAGUCGGGGACCCAUGUCCUAUGGGUCGACGGGGGAGUCGGGGCCACUUACGAAGUGUCCACCCCUCCUCUAAUACCCUUACGAGGCAUCCACUCCUUUGGCACCCCGGGGGUACAAAGGUGCUCACCGAGGGGUAUGUUUUCAAGCCCUGCAUGCGGCACCUAUUUCCAAGUCAUGGCACGGGCCAUUGCUAGGGAAUUGCCUCCGUUGACUUGACAGCGACUCCUACCUGACGGAACGCCUCAACUCCGC